GACGGAGGAUGCAAGUGUUAUCCCGGAAUCACUGGGCGUAAAGCGCACGUAGGGCGGCUUCUUAAGUCAGGGGUGAAAUCCUGGGAGCUCAACUCCAGAACUGCCUUUGAUACUGAGGAGCUUGAGUCCGGGAGAGGGUGAGUGGAACUGCGAGUGUAGAGGUGAAAUUCGUAGAUAUUCGCAAGAACACCAGUGGCGAAGGCGGCUCACUGGCCCGGUACUGACGCUGAGGUGCGAAAGCGUGGGGAGCAAACAGG
rnacentral:rRNA from 1 species